UGGGGUGCGACCACAUUUGUAAUCAGGGGGUCGCGGGUUCGAACCCUGCCGGGGGCACCA
rnacentral:tRNA from 1 species